GGAGUCGGCCAGGCGAUCGCGGUGUCGCAAGACAUCGAGGAAAGUCCGGGCUCCACGGAUCAGGGUGCCAGGUAACGCCUGGGGGGCGCGAGCCUACGGAAAGUGCAACAGAGAGCAGACCGCCGAUGGCCCGCAAGGGCACAGGCAAGGGUGAAA
rnacentral:RNase_P_RNA from 1 species